rnacentral:rRNA from 1 species
CCCUUAGACGUUCUGGGCCCCACGCGCGCUACACUGACCAGUGCAACAAGCAUCCGUCCUUGGCCGACAGGCCCGGGCAAUCUUUGAACGCUGGUCGUGAUGGGGAUAGACUUUUGCAAUUUUUGGUCUUCAACGAGGAAUUCCUAGUAAACGCAAGUCAUCAACUUGCAUUGAUUACGUCCCUGCCCUUUGUACACACCGCCCGUCGCACCUACCGAUUGAAUGGUCCGGUGAAGCCUCCGGAUUGGCGCGCACCUCGGUGCCGCCGAGAAGUUGGCUAAACCUUACCAUUUAGAGGAAGGUGAAGUCGUAACA